rnacentral:rRNA from 1 species
UAAGUAGGCAGUGUGCAACAAAACUAAGAAGGACAUCCUCAGUAGUGGCGAAUGUACAGGGAUAGGCUCAAUAUGGUUGUUGGGGUGUCUGGCCCUGAGUUGUAGUCUGGCGACGUGCAACCAAUGGGGGGCGUAGUUACAAUCGUUUGGAAUAUGAGUAAUGAGUAAGGUGAGAAUCCUGUUUGCCAUCUAUGACACCCUUCCAUGAAUCGUGUAUUGUCCAUGAGUCAUGCCCCCUGGGACUGGUGUGUGAAGUGGGUGGUAAAGUUCAUCAAAAGACUAGCCUUGAUCUGGGGCCAAUAGUGAACAAGUACCAUGAGGGAAAGGUGAAACAGGACUUUGGGCAGAGUGAUACUAAUACUUGAAUAUGCUGAGCAUGAAGUGAGGGGAUCUCUGUGUAUUUGAGCAGAUUACUGUGCGUGGGUGAACCUGCCUGCCAUUGUCUAUGCCUGUGUGACUGUGGGUGCUGAGUUGCGGGGUUGUGUAUGGUGUGUCUUGCUCUGUGGAUCAGUGUCAGUUAAUUGCAUGAGGGAACCGAUGGGAGGCCUGGUGAACUGUUGCUGGUUCGGCGAAUGCGCCUGCCCAUGUCUGUGCAAAUUCUGCAUGGUCGGUACAUUGUGCAAUUCAUCCUGUCUUGAAACACAGAUCAAGGAGUCUAACGUGUGUGCAAAUGCUAGGGUGGUGUCACCAGCUGGUGCAAUGAACAUGAUGGCUGGGAUAUCUGCACCAUCAGCUGACUCUUCAAGUGUGGAGGGCUUGUGUGUGAGCAGCUAUGUUUGGACCCGAAAGAUGGUGAACUAUGCCUGUGAAGAUGUGAACCCAGAGGAAACUCUGGUGGAGGCUUGUAGCGAUACUGACGUGCAAAUCGUUCGUCAUACUUGGGUAUAGGGGUGAAAGACUAAUCGAAUCAUCUAGUAGCUGGUUUCCUCCGAAGUUUCCCGCAGGAUAGCUGGAGCUGAACAGUUUUGCCAGGUAAAGCAAAUGAGUCAAGGAUUUUGUGGCAUAAUGCUCCUGACCUAUUCUCAAACUUUAAAUAGGUAAAGCCAUCUGAUUACAUGCGUGAGCUUUUGGGGCUAGUGGAACAUCUAAGUGGGCCAUUCUUGGUAAGCAGAACUGGCGAUGAGGGAUGAACCUAAUGUUGGACUAAGGUGCCUUUUUGCCCACGCAUCAGAUACCACGAAAGGGUGUUUGUUCAUAUUAACAGCAGGACGGUGGUCAUGGAAGUUGAAAUCCGCCAAGGAGUGUGUAAUAACUCAUUUGCCGAAUGGACUAGCCCUGAAAUGGAUAGCGCUCAAGUGGGAAACUGAUUCCCAACCGCUGCUGCGAUUGAAGUGCACUAGUGAGUAGGAGGGCAUGGGGCUUUGUGUGGAAGUUCGAGGCGUGAGCCUGGGUGAAACAGCUCUGAAA